rnacentral:rRNA from 1 species
AUACGUAGGGGGCGAGCGUUGUCCGGAAUGAUUGGGCGUAAAGAGCUCGUAGGUGGUUUGUCGCGUCGUCUGUGAAAUUCCGGGGCUUAACUCCGGGCGUGCAGGCGAUACGGGCAUAACUUGAGUACUGUAGGGGAGACUGGAAUUCCUGGUGUAGCGGUGAAAUGCGCAGAUAUCAGGAGGAACACCGGUGGCGAAGGGGGGUCUCUGGGCAGUAACUGACGCUGAGGAGCGAAAGCAUGGGUAGCGAACAGGAUUAGAUACCCUGGUAGUCCAUGCCGUAAACGGUGGGCGCUAGGUGUAGGGGUCUUCCACGACUUCUGUGCCGUAGCUAACGCAUUAAGCGCCCCGCCUGGGGAGUACGGCCGCAAGGCUAAAACUUAAAGGAAUUGACGGGG